GAUGUUGGCUUAGAAGCAGCCAUUCAUUAAAAGAGUGCGUAAUAGCUCACUAGUCAAGAGAUCCUGCGCCGAAAAUGUCCGGGGCUCAAACUUACCACCGAAGCUACGGGUUCACACUUAGUGUGAGCGGUAGAGGAGCGUUGUAAUCGGGCUGAAGUCGUACCGUAAGGAGCGGUGGACUGAUUACAAGUGAGAAUGUUGGCAUUAGUAGCGAGAUGUAGGCGAGAAUCCUACAGGCCGAAUAUCUAAGGUUUCCUGGGUAAAGUUUGUCUUCCCAGGGUUAGUCGGGACCUAAGGCGAGGCCGAAAGGCGUAGUCGAUGGACAAUUGGUUGAUAUUCCAAUACCACUAUCAUCGUUAUUACCGAGGGUGUGACGGAGAAGGAUAGGAUGUGCUAGCUAUUGGAUGCUAGUCGAAGCGUUUAGGGAGUUAGAGUAGGCAAAUCCGCUCUAACAAUUCUGAGGCGUUAUAGGGAAGGUUCUACGGAACCGAAGUAUCUGAUUCCAUGCUUCCAAGAAAAGCAUCUAGGGAGAGAAGUAGUGCCCGUACCGCAAACCGACACAGGUAGAUGAGGAGAGAAUCCUAAGGCCGACGGAAGAAUUGCAGUUAAGGAACUAGGCAAAUUGACCCCGUAACUUCGGGAGAAGGGGUGCCUACGAAAGUAGGCCGCAGAGAAUAGGCACAAGCAACUGUUUAACAAAAACACAGGUCUCUGCUAAAGCGUAAGCUGAUGUAUAGGGGCUGACGCCUGCCCGGUGCUGGAAGGUUAAGGGGAACACUUAGCGCAAGCGAAGGUGUGAACUUAAGCCCCAGUAAACGGCGGCCGUAACUAUAACGGUCCUAAGGUAGCGAAAUUCCUUGUCAGGUAAGUUCUGACCCGCACGAAUGGCGUAAUGACUUGUGCACUGUCUCAACUGCAAAUCCGGCGAAGUUGUAGUGCGAGUGAAGAUGCUCGCUACCCGCGAUUGGACGGAAAGACCCCGUAGAGCUUUACUGUAGCUUAGCAUUGAAUUUCGGUAUUGUCUGUACAGGAUAGGUGGGAGACUGGGAAAUCAGGGCGUCAGCCUUGAUGGAGUCGUUGUUGGGAUACCACCCUGAUAGUAUUGAAAUUCUAACUGGAUGCCAUGAAACUGGUGACAGGACAUUGUUAGGUGGGCAGUUUGACUGGGGCGGUCGCCUCCUAAAAUGUAACGGAGGCGCCCAAAGGUUCCCUCAGAACGGUCGGAAAUCGUUCGAAGAGUGUAAAGGCAGAAGGGAGCCUGACUGCGAGACCUACAAGUCGAGCAGGGACGAAAGUCGGGCUUAGUGAUCCGGUGGUACCUCGUGGGAGGGCCAUCGCUCAACGGAUAAAAGCUACCUCGGGGAUAACAGGCUGAUCUCCCCCAAGAGUUCACAUCGACGGGGAGGUUUGGCACCUCGAUGUCGGCUCGUCGCAUCCUGGGGCUGAAGUAGGUCCCAAGGGUUGGGCUGUUCGCCCAUUAAAGCGGCACGCGAGCUGGGUUCAGAACGUCGUGAGACAGUUCGGUCCCUAUCCGUCGCGGGCGUAGGAAAUUUGAGAGGAGCUGUCCUUAGUACGAGAGGACCGGGAUGGACUGACCUAUGGUGUACCAGUUGUUUCGCCAGAAGCAUUGCUGGGUAGCUAAGUCGGGAAGGGAUAAACGCUGAAAGCAUCUAAGUGUGAAGCCCACCUCAAGAUGAGAUUUCCCAUAGCAUAAGCUAGUAAGACCCCUUGAAGACUACAAGGUUGAUAGGUCAGAGGUGUAAGUGCGGUAACGUAUUUAGCUGACUGAUACUAAUAGGUCGAGGGCUUGACCAA
rnacentral:rRNA from 1 species